GCGACAUGGAGAAGCCCCUGCCGGAUGAGCCAGCACCGGCCCCCGCCGCCGCGCACCUGGCCGCCGCCGGCCUUGGCACCUGGGCGAGCGUGCCCAUGGCGAGGCAGGCACUCACCCCUGGCCGAGGCCAUCCCUCGCCGCCGCCGGCCCUGGCUCCUGGCCGAGCGAGCCCCUAGCCAAGGUGGCAGGCGCUUCCUCCUGGCCGAGGCCGCCCCUGGCAGCCGCCGGCCUUGGCCCCUGGCCUAGCCAGGGCGAGGCAGCGCCGGCCCUAGGCGAGGCCGUAGGCGGGCAGGCCACGGCCGGCUUGGGAGGAGCCCCCUCAACCACGACAAUGCUCUGCACACAAGCUGCCUUGGCUGGCGGCGGCCGGCAACCAGCCUACCUGCCUGAUCGCGACGACGUGGUAAAAAAAAAAAGGCCAGCAGCCAGCCUACCUGG